GUACACUAGUGCAUUGGGCUAUUUGGAUAAGGAAAUUUAGAAAUCUGAUGCUUUAUUGAGACAAAUGGUGUUUAUAUCCUUUGCAGACCUGUCAGAAUGACCAGGAGUGCAUCGCGGCAAGGGACGAGGCGGGUUCUUGCUGUGCGCUGUGGAGCCCGGGCUCGGACCUCCACGUCUGUAAGCCCGCAGGCAGGACCGGCGAACCCUGCCACGCGGCCUCGAACGUCUUACCAUACCCAUUCAACGGGCAGAGACGCUUCUGGAGGUGCCAGUGCGCGGAGGGACUACUUUGCGUCACCGAACCGGGCAGUUUGAUCGGUCGCUGUUCUUCAGUGGACAAGUGAACAGGCUCGACAUCUACAGAUACAUUGUACCAUCUAUAUGGGGAGAAAAAGUGGCAGUGAUACGAAUACGUAUUUAUGGCUUUAAGUGCGGACAUGUUAUCCCAAAUUACAUUGAUUGUACUCAAGGGACUCAUGUUUUCCUCUGUACUAAGCCAUGUUGAUUUGUUUAUAUGGAUGACCUCCUCUGGGAACCCCAGAACUGAUGCGAGCGUGCAAACAACAAAAGGUUGGGCCUAAAAAAUGUUGCCUUUCUUUUGAAAUCAAAUUGUCAGGAAGGUUGGACAAAUGCUUAAAAUAUAAUGUAUGGUAUACCGAACAAUAGAUUUUUUCAGUUUUGAUAUUUCACAUCUUCAUUGACUUUUGAAUUUUCUUGAUGAGAAUGACGAUGCCAUCCAUAUCAAAUCAAACCAACAUUGCCUUCAUGUAUUGACCAAUACUACUUAGUGUGGAUACAGUUUCUGGUCCGAUGGUCACCCUCUUACAGCUGGUCUUGUAGGGGAUUACAAAUCAUCUGUUUGUGUUUGGAAGCUAAUUCGUUUUAAAAAUCAACUACUCAUAGAAUGAAAUGGGACCAUGGCUUUCAAGAAUAAAAAUCUGAACUACCAA